rnacentral:rRNA from 1 species
UACGAAGGGGGGCUAGCGUUGUUCGGAAUCACUGGGCGUAAAGGGCUCGUAGGCGGCCAACUAAGUCGGACGUGAAAUCCCUCGGCUUAACCGGGGAACUGCGUCCGAUACUGGAUGGCUUGAGUUCGGGAGAGGGAUGCGGAAUUCCAGGUGUAGCGGUGAAAUGCGUAGAUAUCUGGAGGAACACCGGUGGCGAAGGCGGCAUCCUGGACCGACACUGACGCUGAGGAGCGAAAGCCAGGGGGAGCAAACGGG